GAGGGUAAUAAACAAUUAUUACAGUGAGUGAAAUAAAGAAUCCAAGAAAGGAUUUACAAAGGAUAAGGCUUCUCAAGGAACAAAGAGGAAAGGACACCAAGAAUAAAAUAAUAAUAAUACUAGAAGAAAGAGAGAAUUUUUGCACUGAAGGAAUUGGUCAUGUGGUGAUCCGGGUUUGUGAAUAAAUAAAUGAAUCAAUAACAGAGAAAUGGUGGGUAGGGAGAUCGUGAAGGUCACUAGGUUUCGUUGAAAAAAAAAAAAACCACGAUUCAAGGGGACUCCAACACCGGAGCAGACAGCCUAGGAUUGGAUGGACGAUAGGCAAUCUGUAAUUUGACCUAUUCUUAAUGGUCAAUGAAUGGACGAGGAGUACAUGCACCCAAUUUCAG
rnacentral:lncRNA from 1 species